rnacentral:rRNA from 1 species
AUUGAACGCUGGCGGCAGGCCUAACACAUGCAAGUCGAACGCGUGGCGGACGGGUGAGUCAUGUCUGGGAAACUGCCCGAUGGAGGGGGAUAACUACAGGAAAAGGUAGCUAAUACCGCAUACCAUCGGAUGUGCCCAGAUGGGAUUCGCUAGUAGGUGGGGUAACGGCUCACCUAGGCGACGAUCCCUAGCUGGUCUGAGAGGAUGACCAGCCACACUGGAACUGAGACACGGUCCAGACUCCUACGGGAGGCAGCAGUGGGGAAUAUUGCACAAUGGGCGCAAGCCUGAUGCAGCCAUGCCGCGUGUAUGAAGAAGGCCUUCGGGUUGUAAAGUACUUUCAGCGAGGAGGCGUUACUCGCAGAAGAAGCACCGGCUAACUCCGUGCCAGCAGCCGCGGUAAUAC